UGUACUUUCUUGAGCGAACCAUGAAAACAUUUCUCGUUUUAUUGGCGUAUAUCGUUGCUGUAGCAACUGCACAAUCGGGAGGACACGGUGAAGAAGGUGAAACACAGAGAAAACAUUACGAUUACUACGCACCACCUCAUUACAAUUUUGAAUACAAAGUUCAUGCCGGUCAUACGGGAGACGUCACACGAGACUAGGGAAGGAGACAAAGUUAAAGGAUUCUACGUACUGAAAGAAGCUGAUGGUACAGUCAGGGAAGUCCAUUACACAGCUGAUCACUCCCAGUGCACCACGAAAAAGUGGAAGAAGAGCAAGGCCACGAGGAACAUCAUGACUGCUAUGCCCCACCCCACUACAGUUACGAAUACAAAGUUCACGACGAGCAUACGGGAGACGUUAAAUCUCACCAUGAGACUAGGGAAGGUGACAAAGUCAAAGGAUUCUACAUGCUGAAAGAAGCUGAUGGUAAAGUCAGGGAAGUCCAUUACUCCGCUGACCACAAAAAUGGUUUCAACGCCGAAGUCAAAAGGGUAAGGCAUGCUGUCCACCAUGUACCUAUGUACCAUCAUCAUUCGUAAAGAAUUUAUGUAAAACAUAUAGUAC